rnacentral:lncRNA from 1 species
UUGCAGUAAAAGUAAAAUGGGGGGUUUUGAGAUUGAUUUGAUUAAUAAACUACUAAAAGCAAUUAAAAUAAGUGAAUAAUAAAAGAAAAGAGAAAUAAAUAAUAAGAAAACUAUAGUUGAAGUAUUGGAUCCACUUUAGUCAUUGGGGUUGAUCACAGACACUUUGUUCUUUUGGGUUGAUUCAAUAGAUUAGUUUAUGGAGAUGGAAGACGCUUUUCACCACCAUUAUCUCUCCUUAUAAUUAAACCAAUUAGGAAACGUCCUGUAAUUAAUUACUAAUCAAUAAAUUGCCAAGGAACGUCAUUGGGCCUUAGGCAUCAAAACAAUUGUCAAUUGCAUUAAGAAAUAGAGAGAUCCAAUCCUAGCUAUCCAAACGUAUGGAGAUGACGCUAGAUCAUGCAAUUUCCUUGGGUUUUAUCCCAAGUGUUCUCAUGUAAGAAUAACCCAAGCAAUUACGGACUUAAAUUGUUCAAACUAAUAAAUAAUUAUUUUGCAAUAAAAAAUCAACGUAGAUUUCAAUAACAAAAUAUUAUGAGAAUUAAAUAUGAAAUUGCAUGAAUAUUGAAUUCCCAAAAUUAAACAAUAUUUGAUCAAGUCUCAUAAUCCAUUAAACAACUAAAGCUUCAACCAAUAUUCAACUAGAUGAAAGAAAUCAGCCACUCAUUGACUGAAUUAAAAACAGAAAAAUAAAAGAAAAAAAAGAAAAAGAAAAGGAAGAAAAAACCGAAGCCUUGCGCCGGACUGGAUGAAAUUGCCGAG